GGGUCGCUAGCUCAAUGGUAGAGCACUCGGCUUUUAACCGAAUUGUUCCGGGUUCAAAUCCCGGGCGACCCA
rnacentral:tRNA from 1 species